AUUGGGGGUUAAAAAUUAAUAAAUAAAAUAUUUAAUAAAAAAAAUUUUAAUAUAAAAUAUUUAAUGGGGGUUAAAGUAUUUUAAUAGAAAAAAUUUUUUAAUUUAUAGUAUAAUAGUAUUGUGAAAGAAUUUUGAAAUAAAGUUGAAAAUUAAUUUUUAAUAAAGUAAAUUUAAAUUAUUGUAUCUUGUGUAUCAGAGUUUAUUAAUUAUUUUUUAUAUUAUUAAAUUUCUCGAAUUUAAAAGAGUUAAUUAAUUAAAAAAUUUAUUGUUUCAUAAAUAUUUUAAAUAAUUAAUUUGAAAUGAAAUGUUAUUCGUUUUUAAAUAUAUCUAGUUUUUUUAGAAAAAAAUUAAAUUUUUAAUUUGAUUAUAAAUUAAAUUUAUUAAAUAAAUUUAAUUUAUAAUCAAAUUUAAUAUUUUAAGGGAUAAGCUUUAAAUUAAAUUUUUAUAUGUAAAAUAAAUUUAAAAUAAAAUUUUUAUAAUUUAAAUUGUUAAUAAAUUUUAAUUUAUUAUAAAUAAUUUUAUUAGAAUUAAAAUUUAAUUUAAAAUUAAUUUUUUAUAAAAAAAUGUUUUUUAAUUUAAUAAAAUUAGUUAUAAUGAUAAAAUUAGUAUAUAAGAUUAAAAUAAAUAUAUUUAUUUUAUGGAAAGUAUUUUAAAGGAAUUCGACAAAAUAAUAUAUUCACCUGUUUACCAAAAACAUGUCUUUUUGAAAAUAAUUUAAAGUCUAAUCUGCCCACUGAUUUUUAAUUAAAGGGCUGCAGUAUUUUGACUGUACAAAGGUAGCAUAAUCAUUAGUCUCUUAAUUGGUGACUUGUAUGAAAGAUUGGAUGAAAUAUAAAUUGUCUCUAAAAUAAUUAAAUUGAAUUUAAUUUUUUAAUUAAAAAGUUAAAAUGAGUUAAAAAGACGAGAAGACCCUAUAGAGUUUUAUAUUUAUUUUUUUUUUAAUAUUAUUAGUUAAAUAAUAUAAUUUAAAGAAUUAAAAGUAUUUUAUUGGGGUGAUAAAAAAAUUAAUUUAACUUUUUGUUAAUUAAAACAAUGAUAUUUGAAUUUUUGAUCCAUUAUUAUUGAUUAUAAGAAUAAAUUACCUUAGGGAUAACAGCGUAAUUUUUUUUUUUAGUUCAUAUAAGAAGAAGAGUUUGCGACCUCGAUGUUGGAUUAAGAUAAAAUAUAAAUGCAAAAGUUUAAAAUUUUUGAUCUGUUCGAUCAUUAAAAUCUUACAUGAUCUGAGUUCAAACCGGUGUAAGCCAGGUUGGUUUCUAUCUUUUGAAAAUUUUAAUAUUUUAGUACGAAAGGAUCAAAUAUUAUAAUUAAAUUAAUUUUUUUUUGAAUUUUAUUAAGUUAUAAUUAAAUUUAUA
rnacentral:rRNA from 1 species